GACAGAGGUGCCGAGCGUUAGGCGGAAUCACUGGGCUUAAAGCGUGUGUAGGCGGGUCGUUAAGUGUCUUGUGAAAUCCCCCGGCUCAACCGGGGAAUGGCUGGGCAUACUGGCGAUCUUGAGCAGUCUAGGGGCAGAUGGAACAAGAGGUGGAGCGGUGAAAUGCGUAGAUAUCACUUGGAACGCCAAAGGUGAAAAUAGUCUGCUGGGGACUUGCUGACGCUGAGACACGAAAGCCAGGGGAGCGAACGGG
rnacentral:rRNA from 1 species